GCGGAAAACAUAUUUCCGUUCACUCCUCACACCACACUCCGUCCGGACGGCGUUCGGGCGGCU
rnacentral:sRNA from 1 species